rnacentral:misc_RNA from 1 species
ACACCUCACUACUAUAACUUUAUUGUUAUGAUAGUGGAUUUGGAAUGCGCUGGUGUUAGUCAGCCCUUCUAAAAUGGAGUUCUUGCACUGUUGAUUUGUUUUAACAGCAACGUUGGCCUAAUAAGUUUCAGCAGCAAUGUUGAAAUCACUGGCUUUUUUCGCUUAGAAUCGGACAGUCUUGAUAUACAGAAUUUUUGAGGUGACUUUUGUCUCCUCUUCAAA